CGGCGACGAGUGGCGAACGGGUGAGUAACGCAUCGGAACGUACCCAGUAGUGGGGGAUAGCCCGGCGAAAGCCGGAUUAAUACCGCAUACGACCUACGGGUGAAAGCGGGGGAUCGUAAGACCUCGCGCUAUUGGAGCGGCCGAUGUCAGAUUAGGUAGUUGGUGGGGUAAAGGCCUACCAAGCCUUCGAUCUGUAGCUGGUCUGAGAGGACGACCAGCCACACUGGGACUGAGACACGGCCCAG
rnacentral:rRNA from 1 species